GGGGCUAUAGCUCAGCUGGGAGAGCGCCUGCCUAGCACGCAGGAGGUCAGCGGUUCGAUCCCGCUUAGCUCCACCA
rnacentral:tRNA from 1 species